rnacentral:rRNA from 1 species
CCCUUAGAUGUCCUGGGCCGCACGCGCGCUACACUGAUGCAUGCAACGAGUUUAUAACCUUGGCCUGAAAGGUCUGGGUAAUCUUUUGAACGUGCAUCGUGAUAGGGAUAGAUUAUUGCAAUUGUUAAUCUUGAACGAGGAAUUCCUAGUAAACGCGAGUCAUCAGCUCGCAUUGAUUACGUCCCUGCCCUUUGUACACACCGCCCGUCGCACCUACCGAUUGAAUGGUUCGGUGAAGAUCUCGGACUUCGAUAUUUAUUCUUUAUUGAGUUUAUAUUGUGGAAAGUUAUCUAAACCUCAUCAUUUAGAGGAAGGUGAAGUCAUAACA